GGGUGUGGUGGCACGUGCCUGUAGUCCCAGCUACUUGGAAGGCUGAGGCUGGAGGAUUGCUUGAGCCCAGGAGUUCUGGGUUGUAGUGCGUUGUGCCGAUCGGGUGUCUGCACUAAGUUCGGCAUCAAUAUGGUAGCCUCCCAGGAGUGGGGGGGCCACCAGGUUGCCUAAGGAGGGGUGAACCGGCCUAGGUUGGAAACACUUUCUAAAUUCAAAAUAGGUACUCUCAGGUGAAAUACAAUAUAGAUGAAAACAUGUUAUUAAUGGUGAUCCAGGAGUCUGAGGUGUAUGGCAGGUUACAGGUCUA
rnacentral:SRP_RNA from 1 species